UUGAAAAAAUGUAACUAAAUUUAAUGUUUUUACACUUUAAAAGGCUGCUAGAGACACUAUAGAAAGCUCACUAUCCAAGUCGAUUCCCCGCAAAAACACCAGGAAGAAAAAAAUGGUCAGGACAUCCGCGGGUUUCGUGUUCCCACUACCACUGCGAGGUAACCCUCCCCUUGCAACUUUACCAUGGCCUGCAACUUGUCACGUGAUUCCAAUAACAAAUACCAGCUAAAAGGAUCAUCCCUUAGGCCAGUUGCUGCCGCCAAGUUUGAAAUCCAACCGGAACCCGUAUACCAUCUAGCGUGGGAAGACGGUAAAUCGGUUCAACAUCCUCGUUUCAUACCAAGCAAAUUAGCAUACCAAGAAUGUGUAUUUUCAAAGGCAGAUGUGUAAAAUUCAACUUCUUUACACUUUUAUAAAAAAUUUGUAAAAAAUA
rnacentral:sRNA from 1 species